GACGAACGCUGGCGGCAGGCUUAAGACAUGCAAGUCGAACGCCCUCGGGGGAGUGGCAGACGGGUGAGUAACACGUGGGAACCUACCCAGUUGUACGGAACAACACAGAGAAAUUUGUGCUAAUACCGUAUACGCCCUAUGGGGAAAGAUUUAUCGCAAUUGGAUGGGCCCGCGUUUGAUUAGCUAGUUGGUGAGGUAACGGCUCACCAAGGCGACGAUCAAUAGCUGGUCUGAGAGGACGAUCAGCCACACUGGGACUGAGACACGGCCCAGACUCCUACGGGAGGCAGCAGUCGGGAAUAUUGGACAAUGGCGCAAGCCUGAUCCAGCCAUGCCGCGUGUGUGAUGAAGGCCCUAGGGUU
rnacentral:rRNA from 1 species